GAUUAUGGCUCAGGAUGAACGCUAGCGGCAGGCUUAACACAUGCAAGUCGAGGGGCAGCGGGUUGUAGCAAUACAAUGCCGGCGACCGGCGAAAGGGUGAGUAACGCGUGAGCAACAUGCCCGGUAGUGGAGGAUAGUCGAUGGAAACGUCGCGUAAUACUCCGUAACAACAGAGACCGCAUGAUCUUUGUUUAAUAGAUUUAUUGCUAUCGGAUUGGCUCGCGUACCAUUAGCUAGUUGGCGGGGUAACGGCCCACCAAGGCGACGAUGGUUAGGGGUUCUGAGAGGAAGGUCCCCCACAUUGGAACUGAGACACGGUCCAGACUCCUACGGGAGGCAGCAGUGAGGAAUAUUGGACAAUGGCCGGAAGGCUGAUCCAGCCAUGCCGCGUGCGGGGAAAGACGGCCCUAUGGGUUGUAAACCGCUUUUGUUGGGGAGCAAUAAGGUCCACGUGUGGAUUGAUGAGAGUACCCAGCGAAUAAGCAUCGGCUAACUCCGUGCCAGCAGCGGC
rnacentral:rRNA from 1 species